rnacentral:rRNA from 1 species
AAAAUUAAAGGUCUAAUCUGCCCAAUGAUAAUUGAAUGGCCGCGGUAACUUGACCGUGCAAAGGUAGCAUAAUUAUUAGUCUUUUAAUUGAAGGCUUGAAUGAAUGAUUGGAUGAAAAAUAAACUUUAUUAACAAAAAUUAUUUAAUUUAUUAUUUAAGUAAAAAUUCUUAAAUAUACAAGUGGGACGAGAAGACCCUAUAGAGUUUUAUUUUUAUUUUUAUCAUAAUAUUUUAGAAUUAAUAUUUUUAUUAUAAAAAUAAAUUUUUUAUUGGGGUGAUAUUAAAAAUUAUUAAACUUUUAAUUAAUAUUUCAUUAAUAUAUGUAUUAUUGAUCCAGAAUAAAAUUUUGAUUAUAAGAAUAAAUUACCUUAGGGAUAACAGCGUUAUUAAUUUGAAGAGUUCAAAUCGAUAAAUUAGUUUGCGACCUCGAUGUUGGAUUAAGAAUAAAUUUUGAAGUAGUAUUUAAAAUUAUAGGUCUGUUCGACCUUUAAAUUCUUACG